AAUCAAAAUGAAAUUCUUCGCUGUUUUCGCCGCUAUCUUGGCUGUGGGAGCCGCCACCACCAUGACAUCAACGUGGACCCUCCAGGAGCUGGACGCUGCUCUCUCCAACCCUCACACAAACCCCGCCUUCGUCCCAUACUUGGAACACGCCCUCAACGAAUACAUGCACGCGCUCUGGGCUGGUCACCAAAUCGAAAACAUUGCGGUCCCUCUCCCCGCUGAGGUCCUCCUGCCAAUCGCACCAGAGGUCGCUGCCCCCGCCCCUCCGGUCUUCACCAGCCCCCUGGUGCAGGUCAUAGUCAACGUCAACAAGAAGACUCAACAGGUUACCGAUGAGCCCGCACAAAUCAUUGUUCCUUCACCAGUUGGGGUAGUGCCGAGCCCCGAGCUCGAGGUAGAAACUGGUGUCCUAGAGCCCGAGACCCCAGUACUCCCCGUCGACAGCUUCAACCCCAUCGACACCAUUGCCAUCAACCCCGAACCCAUCAACGUUAACAUCAUUGACCCCAGCCCCGCUGUUGAUAUCGGACCUAUGUAAAUAUUGUAAUUUAUAAAUAAAUAUAAUACAAA